rnacentral:tRNA from 1 species
GGCUCCUUGGUCAAGCGGUUAAGACACCACCCUUUCACGGUAGUAACAGGGGUUCGAUUCCCCUAGGAGUCACCA